AUUAUUUAAUUUACAAAAUUUAAUAUACAAAAAAUUGAGUCUCAUAGCAUUAAUCUUUUUUCCGAGUCAUCACGAAAAGAAAGGAGAGAGACAAAACAAGACAAAUAAUUCUUCUCCCUUUCUUUCUUGCGAGGAGAGAGAGAGAGAACACAGCCAUCCCUGUGUUCACCAGGAUGUCUCACAGAAGUGCUUUUUUUCCUUAUUCCUGCUUUCGAUUCGAAGUUACAGCCUUUGAGGGUUCAAUUCUCAGUUUUUCUCACUCUUGGGUCAGAUUGGUCAAUCCCCACCUUGAAGUUCAUAUCUUUUUUGAAAAAGUGCAAUCAAUUUUAUAGGUAUUUUCUGCAUAGCUUGAUAUCUCCAUUUCAGUGUUCAUAUUCUUUGAAAUAAUCUGAAAUUGGUGUGCUUGUAAUCUUCUUGUAUUCUCUGCUGGGUUGUCAUUAAUUUUGAUCACAUAAUUUAAUAAUUUAAUUUGUGAUUAUUGUAUGUGUUUAUGAUGCUAAGUGGGAUUUUAUUGAUUGGAAUUUGGUUUGGAUGGUUGGAAAUAUUCGAAAGCUUUCUGGAAAAGUUAAUUUCAGCUUGCUUUUCAAACUCUCGUGGUGGAUCUUAGUUUUGCUUUUAAUGGUUUGACAUGUAAAUAAUGUAAUUGAAUAGGAAAUAUGAGUCUUAAGUUGUAACAGAUGCUCAACCUCUGUGGCUUUGACUUUUAUUAUACCACUGUUGGCCAAGCAUCUAUCCCCCAUCAGUUUGCUACAAGAAAUGACUCACUCAUGACUCCUGCAUAAGGACGGUUGUAUUAGCGGGCAGGCGAAUUAGCUUUGUCCUGCCUAUAAUUUUCAGCACACUUCUAAUGUAAAAUUUUUGCACCGGUGUCCACAUUGUCGAGUUCAUUUAGUUGCCUGGAAUAUUCCCAGUCAUGUCCAUAGAAACUAGUGCUAUUAUGCGUAGGCUGCGUUUGGUGCACAGAAAAUAAUUCAUAAUGUAAAAGUUUGAAGUUCGUCUCGAUACUACAUUUUAGGAGCUCGAUUUCGAGUUUCUUUGAAACUGUUAUAAAUUAAUGUUUUGCGUGAACUCAGGUCCAAGAAGAAAGGAAAGAUUAUAACUAAUAAACCUAGAACACACCAAUGGCAUGCUAAGAAUUUACUGUCACGUUUAUGUCGUCACAUAAACGUUAACGUAUUGUUAUGAGCACAUUUUCUGAACAAUGUGUGCCGUCAUUUCUUCAGGUGAAGGAUUUGCUACUGGAAGAAUACGCCUCGCAGAAAUUGAAGCUAUCCGAAUCACCAAGUUUGAGAGCAUCUGGAGCUGUAUUCUGUUGCGUGGAAAACCAAAAGGUGUCACCUUUUAUGGACAUGCAGGGAUACCCGAUGACUUCUGUUUGGGUUAAAAGUUAAACUUUGGGCUCAGAAAGGAGUUGGCCCAAAAAGAGGAGAAAAACCCGAAGCACAGCCCAAGCCUAGAAGGCAGAAAAGGCCUUUCCCGACUAGGUGCAGAUCAUUUGCUCCACUUGCUCACCUAUCCAAGGGCCAAGUGGUAUAGACCAGCCAGCUAAUCAGCCCAAAAGUACUUUAUAGUGGCAGUACAAGUAAAUAGCUGAUGAGUCACUAUCCUUCAAACUGUAUUCGGGCAAGAUUAUUGCUACAGGAGGCCAAGCCAAAGUGUCUAUAAAAGGAGAAAGAGAAAUCAGAGUCAAGGACACUCAAACAAACCAACAAAUACAAGCACAAACUCUGCUCAAAGCCAGAUUUGCCUUCAAAACGAAGCUGUAGUCAGCCCAAGCCUUCAUCCCUUUCGGGAUAAACCCUUUGUAAUAGCUCUGCUAUCCUGUUCAACUCUUGCUGUAGUAUCGAUUUCUUUCUGUAAACUCACCUCCCAACCCCUUUUCUAAGCUUUCAAACCUCAUGAUAAACCACAAAGAUAGGAAGUUGCAAGACGAUCAGCCUUGCCUGACCCUCUUUGUUUUUGUCUUUUCAUUCAUUAGCCUAGCAAUAUGUUGUAUACUACAAGUUGUAUCCAAGUUACUUUUAGUUAAAAGACUCUCUCAGCGCUUAAAUCCGAUUUGAAUAUGUCUUCACAAUUCAAGCCAGAUCUAAGUUCUAAGCCCUCGAGCAUGUAAGAUUUGAUCUCUCAAAAAGUCCUUGGCCUCAAGGCAUAAAAAAGAACCUAAUGUGGACUUAACCCACCC
rnacentral:lncRNA from 1 species